rnacentral:rRNA from 1 species
AGAGUUUGAUCCUGGCUCAGGACGAACGCUGGCGGCGUGCCUAAUACAUGCAAGUCGAGCGAAUCAUUAGGAGCUUGCUCCUAAUGAUUAGCGGCGGACGGGUGAGUAACACGUGGGCAACCUGCCUAUAAGACUGGGAUAACUUCGGGAAACCGGAGCUAAUACCGGAUAAUCCUUUUCCUCACAUGAGGGAAAGCUGAAAGACGGUGCAAGCUGUCACUUAUAGAUGGGCCCGCGGCGCAUUAGCUAGUUGGUGAGGUAAUGGCUCACCAAGGCAACGAUGCGUAGCCGACCUGAGAGGGUGAUCGGCCACACUGGGACUGAGACACGGCCCAGACUCCUACGGGAGGCAGCAGUAGGGAAUCUUCCGCAAUGGACGAAAGUCUGACGGAGCAACGCCGCGUGAACGAUGAAGGCUUUCGGGUCGUAAAGUUCUGUUGUUAGGGAAGAACAAGUAUCGGAGUAACUGCCGGUACCUUGACGGUACCUAACCAGAAAGCCACGGCUAACUACGUGCCAGCAGCCGCGGUAAUACGUAGGUGGCAAGCGUUGUCCGGAAUUAUUGGGCGUAAAGCGCGUGUAGGCGGUUCGGUAAGGCGGAUGUGAAAUCCCGGGGCUCAACCCCGGGCCGGCAUCCGCGACUGCCGGGCUGGAGUGUGGGAGGGGAGAGCGGAAUUCCUGGUGUAGCGGUGAAAUGCGUAGAUAUCAGGAGGAACACCGGUGGCGAAGGCGGCUCUCUGGACCAUAACUGACGCUGAGACGCGAAAGUCAGGGGAGCAAACAGGAUUAGAUACCCUGGUAGUCCUGACUGUAAACGAUGGAUGCUAGGUGUGGGCGGUUCAUUCCGUCCGUGCCGUCGCUAACGCAGUAAGCAUCCCGCCUGGGGAGUACGGUCGCAAGGCUGAAACUUAAAGGAAUUGACGG